CAAAGAGUAGUUUAAGUAAAAUUAUAAUUUUGGAGAUUAUAGAUAAAGAAGUUUUCUUUUUCUUUGA